UACGGAGGGUGCCAGCGUUAUCCGGAUUUACUGGGUUUAAAGGGUGCGUAGGCGGGCAUGUAAGUCAGUGGUGAAAUACCGGAGCUUAACUUCGGAACUGCCAUUGAUACUAUAUGUCUUGAAUAUUGUGGAGGUAAGCGGAAGAUGUCAUGUAGCGGUGAAAUGCAUAGAUAUGACAUAGAACACCGAUUGCGGAGGCAGCUUGCUACACAAAUAUUGACGCUGAGGCACGAAAGCGUGGGGAUCAAACAGG
rnacentral:rRNA from 1 species